rnacentral:rRNA from 1 species
CCUACGGGAGGCAGCAGUGGGGAAUAUUGCACAAUGGGGGAAACCCUGAUGCAGCGAUGCCGCGUGAGUGAAGAAGGCCUUUGGGUUGUAAAGCUCUUUCGUCGGGGAAGAAAAUGACUGUACCCGAAUAAGAAGGUCCGGCUAACUUCGUGCCAGCAGCCGCGGUAAUACGAAGGGACCUAGCGUAGUUCGGAAUUACUGGGCUUAAAGAGCUCGUAGGUGGUUAGAAAAGUUAGUGGUGAAAUCCCAAGGCUUAACCUUGGAACUGCUACUAAAACUUUUUGACUAGAGUGUGAUAGAGGUAAGCGGAAUUUCUAGUGUAGAGGUGAAAUUCGUAGAUAUUAGAAAGAACACCAAUUGCGAAGGCAGCUUUCUGGAUCAUUACUGACACUGAGGAGCGAAAGCAUGGGUAGCGAAGAGGAUUAGAUACCCUCGUAGUCCAUGCCGUAAACGAUGUGUGUUAGACGUUGGAAAUUUAUUUUCAGUGUCGCAGUGAAAACAAUAAACACACCGCCUGGGGAGUACGACCGCAAGGUUAAAACUCAAAUGAAUUGACGGGGACCCGCACAAGUAGUGGAGCAUGUGGUUUAAUUCGAAGAUACGCGCAGAACCUUACCAACACUUGACAUGUUCGUCGCGACUCUAAGAGAUUAGAGUUUUCGGUUCGGCCGGACGAAACACAGGUGCUGCAUGGCUGUCGUCAGCUCGUGUCGUGAGAUGUUGGGUUAAGUCCCGCAACGAGCGCAACCCUUACUUUUAGUUGCCAUCAUUUAGUUGGGCACUCUGAAAGAACUGCCAGUGAUAAGCUGGAGGAAGGUGGGGAUGACGUCAAGUCCUCAUGGCCCUUACGUGUUGGGCUACACACGUGCUACAAUGGUACUUACAGUGAGAAGCAAAGAGGCGACUCUAAGCUAAUCCCAAAAAGGUACCUCAGUUCGGAUUGUACUCUGCAACUCGAGUACAUGAAGCUGGAAUUACUAGUAAU